GACGGGUAUCGGCCUGAGAGGGUGAACGGACACCUGGAACUGAGACACGGUCCAGACUCCUACGGGAGGCAGCAGUAGGGAAUAUUGCUCAAUGGGGGAAACCCUGAAGCAGCAACGCCGCGUGGAGGAUGAAGGUUUUAGGAUUGUAAACUCCUUUUGUUAGAGAAGAUUAUGACGGUAUCUAACGAAUAAGCACCGGCUAACUCCGUGCCAGCAGCCGCGGUAAUACGGAGGGUGCAAGCGUUACUCGGGAUCACUGGGCGUAAAGAGUGCGCAGGCGGGAUAGCAAGUCAGAUGUGAAAUGCUAUGGCUUAACCAUAGAACUGCAUUUGAAACUGUUAUUCUA
rnacentral:rRNA from 1 species